rnacentral:rRNA from 1 species
GAAGAUACCAGCUGGCUGCAACUGUUUAUUAAAAACACAGCACUGUGCAAACACGAAAGUGGACGUAUACGGUGUGACGCCUGCCCGGUGCCGGAAGGUUAAUUGAUGGGGUCAGCGCAAGCGAAGCUCCUGAUCGAAGCCCCGGUAAACGGCGGCCGUAACUAUAACGGUCCUAAGGUAGCGAAAUUCCUUGUCGGGUAAGUUCCGACCUGCACGAAUGGCGUAAUGAUGGCCAGGCUGUCUCCACCCGAGACUCAGUGAAAUUGAACUCGCUGUGAAGAUGCAGUGUACCCGCGGCAAGACGGAAAGACCCCGUGAACCUUUACUAUAGCUUGACACUGAACAUUGAGCCUUGAUGUGUAGGAUAGGUGGGAGGCUUUGAAGUGUGGACGCCAGUCUGCAUGGAGCCGACCUUGAAAUACCACCCUUUAAUGUUUGAUGUUCUAACGUGGACCCGUAAUCCGGGUUGCGGACAGUGUCUGGUGGGUAGUUUGACUGGGGCGGUCUCCUCCUAAAGAGUAACGGAGGAGCACGAAGGUUGGCUAAUCCUGGUCGGACAUCAGGAGGUUAGUGCAAUGGCAUAAGCCAGCUUGACUGCGAGCGUGACGGCGCGAGCAGGUGCGAAAGCAGGUCAUAGUGAUCCGGUGGUUCUGAAUGGAAGGGCCAUCGCUCAACGGAUAAAAGGUACUCCGGGGAUAACAGGCUGAUACCGCCCAAGAGUUCAUAUCGACGGCGGUGUUUGGCACCUCGAUGUCGGCUCAUCACAUCCUGGGGCUGAAGUAGGUCCCAAGGGUAUGGCUGUUCGCCAUUUAAAGUGGUACGCGAGCUGGGUUUAGAACGUCGUGAGACAGUUCGGUCCCUAUCUGCCGUGGGCGCUGGAGAACUGAGGGGGGCUGCUCCUAGUACGAGAGGACCGGAGUGGACGCAUCACUGGUGUUCGGGUUGUCAUGCCAAUGGCACUGCCCGGUAGCUAAAUGCGGAAGAGAUAAGUGCUGAAAGCAUCUAAGCACGAAACUUGCCCCGAGAUGAGUUCUCCCUGAGACUUUAGGUCUCCUGAAGGAACGUUGAAGACGACGACGUUGAUAGGCCGGGUGUGUAAGCGCAGCGAUGCGUUGAGCUAACCGGUACUAAUGAACCGUGAGGCUUAACCUU